rnacentral:rRNA from 1 species
ACGUAGGAGACAAACGUUAUCCGGAGUUACUGGGCGUAAAGCGCGUGUAGGCGGUUCGGUAAGUCCGCUGUGAAAGUCGGGGGCUCAACCCUCGAAUGCCGGUGGAUACUGUCGGACUAGAGUACGGAAGAGGCGAGUGGAAUUCCUGGUGUAGCGGUGAAAUGCGCAGAUAUCAGGAGGAACACCAAUUGCGAAGGCAGCUCGCUGGGACGUUACUGACGCUGAGACGCGAAAGCGUGGGGAGCAAACAGGA